rnacentral:rRNA from 1 species
AUUGAACGCUGGCGGCAGGCCUAACACAUGCAAGUCGAGCGAGCGGCGGACGGGUGAGUAAUGUCUGGGGAACUGCCCGAUGGAGGGGGAUAACUACUGGAAACGGUAGCUAAUACCGCAUACUAUCGGAUGUACCCAUAUGGGAUUAGCUAGUUGGUGGGGUAACGGCUCACCAAGGCGACGAUCCCUAGCUGGUCUGAGAGGAUGACCAGCCACACUGGAACUGAGACACGGUCCAGACUCCUACGGGAGGCAGCAGUGGGGAAUAUUGCACAAUGGGCGCAAGCCUGAUGCAGCCAUGCCGCGUGUAUGAAGAAGGCCUUCGGGUUGUAAAGUACUUUCAGCGGGGAGGCGUUACCCGCAGAAGAAGCACCGGCUAACUCCGUGCCAGCAGCCGCGGUAAUAC